CCCGACGUGGGGCUUGAACCCACAGACCGUGAGAUCAUGACCUGAGCUGAAGUCGGACGCUUAACCGAGUCCCCCAGACGCCCCCCAAAGCGAACCUUCUCAUCUUCUCAUCUUCGAAGCCUAGUCCCUCUCUGAUGGUCUCCGGAGGCAUCCAGGGCCUGCGGCACCGGCUCUCACGGGUCCCAGCAGCCAGCCAGCAUCCCCCCGCGGCGCGCGCGCGCAUCAGGACGAGAGCCUCCCCCUUCCUCCUCCCUGAGAGCGUCAGGCGUGAAGCCCCAGCUGGCCGCUCGUUAGGAUGCCAAAUUUUGCCUCUUUCUGUCCGUACAGGAAGCGAGCGUCUGUCCCCGGGGAGGUGACCCCCGCAGCUGCUAGGGAAGGGGAAUAAAUUAUCCCUUUGCGUACAUGCCCUGCCCGCUUGCUAGCAGACUGACAGCUGCACAGACGCGGCAGAGCUGGGCAGGAGGGGUGAAGCGGGGGGAGAAAGGGGCCGCUUGCAGGCUUACAUGGGCAGAGUCUUAUUUGGGGAUCUGGGCCCACAUGGGCUCUGCACGGAAGCUCUCCCCGGCCCGCUUCCGAGUGACACGGCAAAGCGAAGCCCGCCGCCCCCACGGCGGUCACGGUCAGUCGCGAGGUGCAGUUAACGGCGGCCACGGGGUAAGCGCUGGUCGGUGAGACGAGAUCCGAAGUGGGACACACGACUUCACACUUUGCCACCUUCUCUCUCACUCUUGCGGACUAGACUGUGGGCGUGAUGGCCGGAGGCUGAGCGACCUUCUUGGGGCAGAAAACAAAUGCCGAAGGAAGGGCAGGUGGGAAGAGGGAGCCUGGAGCCUAGGUCUUCAAGACUCUGAAUGGCCACUUUAGCUCCGGACGACCUCCCUCUGACUUCUCUUAUGAUGGAGAGCACUAUCUUGUGGAAGCCACUUUCGCUUAUCCGUUGAUUUCCGUUGUGCACAUUUGGACCUGAUCCGAACAGAUACUUCUGAGAAAGGAUUCUUCUGGCCGUCACGCACCAGCAGAAAAGACUCUCCGGGUGGUAAUAGGACCAAAGGAUUCUCAUCCUAGACAGUCAGAAAAGUUUGUUCUGUUUUUAAAUUAUUUUGCUAUUGUUUUUGUUUAUUCUUUUCUCUUUUUCUCUUCUGGUCUUUCUGUGGUUUUUUUUUCCCCUCUUCUUUUGCAUGCCCGUUCAGAACAUUAGACAAAGUCUCCCUUGGGUCCCUGCCUUUUUCUUUUCGAUUCUGUUUCUGAAAGACUUUCUGCCUGGAGAUAAAUGCUUUAUGAUUUUGUUUUAAUCCUCGAAAUGUCUCAACGCAAAAGACUUCUUGUCAGUUUUGCUGUAAA